UACAGAGGUCUCAAGCGUUGUUCGGAUUCAUUGGGCGUAAAGGGUGUGUAGGUGGCGCCGUAAGUCGGGUGUGAAAUUUCGGAGCUUAACUCCGAAACUGCAUUCGAUACUGCGGUGCUUGAGGACUGGAGAGGAGACUGGAAUUCAUGGUGUAGCAGUGAAAUGCGUAGAUAUUGGGAGGAACACCGGUGGCGAAGGCGGCUACCUGGACCGGUACUGACGCUGAGGCGCGAAAGCUAGGGUAGCAAACAGG
rnacentral:rRNA from 1 species